GACGAACGCUGGCGGCGUGCCUAAUACAUGCAAGUAGAACGCCGUUGGGAACGGGUGAGUAACGCGUCGGUAACUGCCUCAUAGCGGGGGGUAACUAUUGGAAACGAUAGAUAAUAACGCAUACUGUGAGAUGGACCUGCGUUGUAUUAGCUAGGUGGUGAGGUAAAGGCUGACGAAGGCGACGAUACAUAGCCUGCCUGAGAGGGGGAUCGGCCACAAUGGGACUGGUACACGGCCCAAACUCCUACGGGAGGCAGCAGUAGGGAAGCUUCGGACAUUGACGGAAGGCUGACCGAGCAACGCCGGGUGAUUGAAGAAGGGUUUCGGAGCUGAAAGCUCUGUUGUGAGAGAAGCGGUAACUAACGAGAAAGGGACGGCUAACUACGUGCCAGCAGCCGCGGUAAUUC
rnacentral:rRNA from 1 species